rnacentral:rRNA from 1 species
GACUGCGUACCUUUUGUAUAAUGGGUCAGCGACUUAUAUUUUGUAGCAAGGUUAACUGAAUAGGGGAGCCGAAGGGAAACCGAGUCUUAACUGGGCGAAGAGUUGCAAGGUAUAGACCCGAAACCCGGUGAUCUAGCCAUGAGCAGGUUGAAGAUUGGGUAACACUAAUUGGAGGACCGAACCGACUAAUGUUGAAAAAUUAGCGGAUGACUUGUGGCUGGGGGUGAAAGGCCAAUCAAACCGGGAGAUAGCUGGUUCUCCCCGAAAUCUAUUUAGGUAGAGCCUUGAGCGGACACCUUCGGGGGUAGAGCACUGUUUCGGCUAGGGGGUCAUCCCGACUUACCAAACCGAUGCAAACUCCGAAUACCAGUGAGUACUAUCCGGGAGACACACGGCGGGUGCUAACGUCCGUCGUGGAAAGGGAAACAACCCAGACCGCCAGCUAAGGUCCCAAAGUCUAUAUUAAGUGGGAAACGAAGUGGGAAGGCUUAGACAGCUAGGAUGUUGGCUUAGAAGCAGCCAUCAUUUAAAGAAAGCGUAAUAGCUCACUAGUCGAGUCGGCCUGCGCGGAAGAUAUAACGGGGCUCAAACUGUACACCGAAGCUACGGGUUUACACUUUGUGUAAGCGGUAGAGGAGCGUUCUGUAAGCCGUUGAAGGUCAAGGUGUGAACCAGGCUGGAGGUAUCAGAAGUGCGAAUGCUGACAUGAGUAACGAUAAUGCGGGUGAAAAACCCGCACGCCGGAAGACCAAGGGUUCCUAUCCCAUGUUAAUCAGGGUAGGGUAAGUCGACCCCUAAGGCGAGGCUGAAGAGCGUAGUCGAUGGGAAACGGGUUAAUACUCCC